AUGUAGAGUGUAUAAACAUGUGCUUUGAACGUGGAUCAAACACGUGACUUUCAGAUCUUUAGUCUAACGCUCUCCCAAUUGAGCUAUCCC